rnacentral:rRNA from 1 species
AACGAACGCUGGCGGCAGGCCUAACACAUGCAAGUCGAGCGAAGUCUUCGGACUUAGCGGCGGACGGGUGAGUAACGCGUGGGAACGUGCCCUGGGGUGCGGAACAACCGCUGGAAACGGCGGCUAAUACCGCAUGAUGUCCUUCGGGACCAAAGAUUUAUCGCCCUGGGAUCGGCCCGCGUCGGAUUACGUAGUUGGUGGGGUAAUGGCCUACCAAGCCGAUGAUCCGUAGCUGGUUUGAGAGGAUGAUCAGCCACACUGGGACUGAGACACGGCCCAGACUCCUACGGGAGGCAGCAGUGGGGAAUCUUGGACAAUGGGGGCAACCCUGAUCCAGCCAUGCCGCGUGAGCGAUGAAGGCCUUAGGGUUGUAAAGCUCUUUCACCGGUGAAGAUAAUGACGGUAGCCGGAGAAGAAGCCCCGGCUAACUCCGUGCCAGCAGCCGCCGCCGUAA